GGAUGAACGCUAGCUACAGGCUUAACACAUGCAAGUCGAGGGGCAGCAUGGUCUUAGCUUGCUAAGACUGAUGGCGACCGGCGCACGGGUGAGUAACACGUAUCCAACCUGCCGUCUACUCUUGGACAGCCUUCUGAAAAGGAAGAUUAAUACAAGAUGGCAUCAUGAGUCCGCAUGUUCACAUGAUUAAAGGUAUUCCGGUAGACGAUGGGGAUGCGUUCCAUUAGAUAGUAGGCGGGGUAACGGCCCACCUAGUCUUCGAUGGAUAGGGGUUCUGAGAGGAAGGUCCCCCACAUUGGAACUGAGACACGGUCCAAACUCCUACGGGAGGCAGCAGUGAGGAAUAUUGGUCAAUGGACGAGAGUCUGAACCAGCCAAGUAGCGUGCAGGAUGACGGCCCUAUGGGUUGUAAACUGCUUUUAUAAGGGAAUAAAGUGAGUCUCGUGAGACUUUUUGCAUGUACCUUAUGAAUAAGGACCGGCUAAUUCCGUG
rnacentral:rRNA from 1 species